rnacentral:rRNA from 1 species
UACGUAGGGUGCGAGCGUUAAUCGGAAUUACUGGGCGUAAAGCGUGCGCAGGCGGUUCGUUAAGUUCGAUGUGAAAGCCCCGGGCUCAACCUGGGAACUGCAUUGGAAACUGGCGGGCUUGAGUGUGGCAGAGGGGGGUGGAAUUCCACGUGUAGCAGUGAAAUGCGUAGAGAUGUGGAGGAACACCGAUGGCGAAGGCAGCCCCCUGGGUUAACACUGACGCUCAUGCACGAAAGCGUGGGGAGCAAACAGG